UGUAAGUUGUUGAAGUUCCGAUCCUAGCUGGGCUCAUAACCCAAAGGUCGGUGGUUCAAAUCCACCUCCCGCAACCA
rnacentral:tRNA from 1 species